GUGAAUCGUUUCCGAAGAGAGCCAGGCAUUUCGAAUCAUCCGGGAAAAGCAUAAGUUCUCCAAGCGAGAAAACACUGUUCGUUGGUGGCUCCUGUGGUUAUCGCAUCUUACCAGUCAAACUGGCAUUGGAGAGGCCAGACGGAAAGUUCCGGGAAAAGCAUCAAUUUCUGAAAGAGAAAACACCGCUGGUGGCUCCUGUGGUCAUCUCAUGACACCACACAAGCUGACAUUGGUUAAGCCAAAAG